CUGCAGAUGCUACCUGCACUAUUCUACGGGUAGAUCAGAUUAUAAUGGGAAAACCAGCAGGUGGCCCUAGUAAGAGAGAUCAGCCUGCAGGGAUGGAUGAGGACUAAUUUUGUGUGUAUGACAAUUGACUAUCUUUGCUUGUAUUGCUCUAUGUUAGGGAGACCAUGUUCCGUUUUAGUAACAAUUUUGUUUAGGAGAAAAAGAAACAUAUUGCAGUUCAUGCUUUGUAAAUGCCACUCUUCUGUUACUAUGGACACGCGGUAUGCCCUUGUUGGGUAGGUUUGGAUUGAAACGAUGAUCGGGUGCUUGAGCCAUGUUUAUUGAGAAGCUUGAAUGUAUUUUCUUUUCUGUUGUAUUUGGCCCUUCUCUUUUCAAGCAUGCCAAAAAUCAUCCUGGUUUUGUAAUAUGUGGUUUGUGCCCAAUUAAUUUACCGUGGAUCUUGCAUUUUUGUA